rnacentral:rRNA from 1 species
AUUGAACGCUGGCGGCAGGCCUAACACAUGCAAGUCGAGCGGAUGAUGGGAGCUUGCUCCUGGAUUCAGCGGCGGACGGGUGAGUAAUGCCUAGGAAUCUGCCUGGUAGUGGGGGAUAACGUCCGGAAACGGGCGCUAAUACCGCAUACGUCCUGAGGGAGAAAGUGGGUGAUCUUCGGACCUCACGCUAUCAUAUGAGCCUAGGUCGGAUUAGAUAGUUGGUGGGGUAAAGGCCUACCAAGGCGACGAUCCGUAACUGGUCUGAGAGGAUGAUCAGUCACACUGGAACUGAGACACGGUCCAGACUCCUACGGGAGGCAGCAGUGGGGAAUAUUGGACAAUGGGCGAAAGCCUGAUCCAGCCAUGCCGCGUGUGUGAAGAAGGUCUUCGGAUUGUAAAGCAAUUUAAGUUGGGAGGAAGGGCAGUAAGUUAAUACCUUGCUGUUUUGACGUUACCAACAGAAUAAGCACCGGCUAACUUCGUG